rnacentral:tRNA from 1 species
GCCCCGGUAGCUCAGUGGAUUAGAGCAAUGGGUUUCUAUCCCACAGGCCGGGGGUUCGAAUCCCUCCCGGGGUACCA